AUCUAACAAAUAUCAGUCGAGCUCAAAACUUCAGUUGAUCGAGAAGUGAGGGCUAAUCUCAUCAACAGAUCCUCGAAUACAUGGCACCUGAUAUUGAUACCAGUCAGACCAAAAUCCUUGUGAAGAAUUUCAUUUAGUGGAGGUCAACUCGGAGGUCACAGUUCAUAACAAAAUGAACCGACCUCGGAAACCCAAUCAACUGAGAAACUAAAAACGAUCGUGCGAGCAAGUUUCAAGUAGUAGUGAGCCAAACCCCA
rnacentral:lncRNA from 1 species